GAAGUGCUGAUGGGAUCGGACGGCUUUCAGCCGCUGCUGACCCGCGCGAUCGCGGCUGCCACGAAGCGCUCGAAGGAACUGGCGAAGUAGAGCAAGUUCGUUCAACACAUGAUGCCUGUCAUUGCCNNNGGCCAUCCAUCUUCCUUUUUCAAAUUUAUUCGAAGAUGAUGGAUCACCGGGUCAAGCCCGGUGAUGACGAUUGUGGGUGUUGCAACAGCGUGCGCCACCUCGACUUUCCGAUUCAGUUUUCAAACAGCAUGCGCGUGUGGGGCUU
rnacentral:misc_RNA from 1 species